AAAACUUUCAACAACGGAUCUCUUGGUUCUGGCAUCGAUGAAGAACGUAGCGAACUACGAUAAGUAAUGUGAAUUGCAGAAUUCAGUGAAUCAUCGAAUCUUUGAACGCACAUUGCGCCCACCAGCACUCUGGUGGGCAUGCCUGUUCGAGCGUCA
rnacentral:rRNA from 1 species